GUUUAAAUACGGACGGGUAGUUUUCGUAAGGCGCACGCUCACCUGCAAAAAAAUGGAUUUGAUCUUGCAGGCUGCCGAUGCAAUUCAAGCCGAUCGAGGAUGCAAACGUCUCCAGAAUUCGUAAGCAAAAACUUGCGAGAAGGGAUGGGGGUCAAAUAGAUCGCAAUCGUGAUAUUGAGCACCUCUGGGAAUUUUACUGGCGCUACAAGUGACGACAUCGCCCGGAGGAUAUCCAGAGGGAGGAGCAGAGAAUGCGUGAAUCUGGGACUUUUACUGCUAACUUUGGAGGGUAUGACCAUCAUUUUGCUGCUUUAGUAAAUUUCUUGAAGUUCUACUAUGCACAGAAUUUCAAUGUCAAGUUCUGUUCUUAUGUAUCUGUAAUAUAUAAUCUUCAGAAAGACAAUGUAAGGAACCAGAGAAAGAAUUUUGUCCUUACAAUUGCAAAUGCACAAUCUCGCCUUGGUAUACCUGCUUAGGCUGAUCCAAUGCUUAAUCCUUUGCAGACCAUACAAUGGUCUGAAGUGUAAGCUUGGCACUUUGGUAGGUUGCUUCAUUGCAACCUGAAGGUCCCAGGUUUGAAGGGGGAGAUAGCCUCUCCCAGAUGGGGUCAACAGUCUCUAGGCUCUGCAAUGGCUGGAUUCCCAUGCAUAUUGAGCUGUCUGUAAAAUAGACGAGAAGGCAAUCUAUGAGGUAUUUCUGAAAGUCCUGGAUAAUUAGAUCAAAUGGUGCAAAUACCUGCGGAUCUGGCUUCACAAGCAAUUAAUCGGGACAUAAAGUUUUUCUGGUGUCAUUGUACUUUCUGAUAUGGGGUGAGGCUGCAAAUGUCCACUUUCUUCCUGAAUGCAUUUGCUACAUGUUUGACCAUAUGGUGAAGGAGUUAGAUGCUAUUCCAGCUGCUAGCAGCACAAUAGAAAAUGAUUCUGUGUCCUUUCUCAAGCAGAUUGUUUAUCCUAUAUAUGAAACAUUGGCAGCGGAAGCUGCUAGAAACAAUAAUGGGAAAGCUGCACAUUCAGCAUGGCGGAAUUAUGACGACUUCAAUGAAUACUUUUGCUUUGUUUGCUUGUCAUUCAAUUAUGGAUGAACAAUGUGAUUCCUUCUUUUUGGUGUGUGAAGCAUCUGUGGAAUAUGCAGAUCACCUGCUUGUUUAGUUGAGCUGACCUAUGAGGAGGGAUUCAGCUUUUUUGCUGAAGCCUUAAAAGAGGAAAAGGAUCUCUUUUGUUAUUGCCUUUAAUGAUGGGAAGAUCAAUUCGGUUGCGUUGAAAAGUAUACUCGGGAUUGGGCCAGCAUUUGCUAUCAUGAACUUUGUAAACUCUUUUAUUAUUUUUGUUUUUUUUUCUGUGUUCCAUAGUCUUUGGACUGCUAGUUGCAAGUUACUUGAAAUGAAGUCGCAAAAACUCAAUUCUGGUUUUGCUUUAAUGCAUUGGAUGAUGUGCAGGUAGUUUGGAUGUGUUGGUCAUGUUUGGGGCUUAUACCACAGCCGGAGGCAUGGCUAUCUCAAGACUUGUAUUUAGAUUUUUCUGGUUUGGCUUCAGCUCUGUUGCUGUGACAUAUAUUUAUCUGAAAGUUCUGCACGAAAGAAAUGAUUACUCAAAUGAUCAUUCUAUUUUCGGAUAUACAGUUUAUGCAGCUUUACGCCUAGUCCUUGCGCUAUUACUCAAAUUUGCGGCAUGUAGAUUGAGGGCAAAUCACCUCAUGACCAAAUCAUUUACUAUACCAUGUUAAGAGCUAGGACAGUGACUCAAAUGAGCAUCUUAAGUGACUCAUAUCUCGUUUGAUUAGAGUAUAAUUAAUCUAGCCGUUCUCAGGGGAGAUUGCACAUUUGAUAAGGAUUUUGACUUGGCCGAGGCCAUGAAGGAGAACAUCACUCUUUAUGAUUCAUUGGAAGAACAGGCAAUUCUUGAUUAAUGUAGAAUUUCAAUGAAUAAUUGAUAAAUUUAUGUAGGAUUUAUAACUAUCUUAUAUGAC